GACAGAGGUGGCAAGCGUUGUUCGGAUUUACUGGGCGUAAAGGGUGCGUAGGUGGUUAGGUAAGACCUGUGGGAAAGACCUGGGCUUAACCCAGGAAGGUCGCAGGUGACUGCCUGGCUAGAGGACGGGAGAGGAGCGCGGAAUUCCCGGUGUAGCGGUGAAAUGCGUAGAGAUCGGGAGGAAGGCCGGUGGCGAAGGCGGCGCUCUGGAACGUUCCUGACACUGAGGCACGAAAGCGUGGGGAGCAAACAGG
rnacentral:rRNA from 1 species